rnacentral:rRNA from 1 species
UUUNNUUUAUAUUUAUAAUAGAACUUUAUUUUUUAGUUAAAAAGCUAAAAUAAAUUUAAAAGACGAGAAGACCCUAUAAAUCUUUAUUAUUUAAUAUUCUAUUAAUUUAUGUAAGAUGAAAUUUUUAAUUAGUAUUUAGAUAAUUUUAUUGGGGUGAUAUUAAAAUUUAUAAAACUUUUAAUAAUAUAAAUCAUUAAUUAAUGAAUUUAUGAUCCGUUAUUAACGAUUAAAAAAUUAAGUUACUUUAGGGAUAAUAGCGUAAUUUUUUUGGAGAGUUCUUAUCGAUAAAAAAGUUUGCGACCUCGAUGUUGGAUUAAGAUUCUUAUUUAAAUGUAGAAGUUUAAAUAUAAAGUCUGUUCGACUUUAAAAUCUUACAUGAUCUGAGUUCAAACCGGUGUAAGCCAGGUUGGUUUCUAUCUUUAAAUCAAUAAAAUAUUUUAGUACGAAAGGAAUGAAUAUUUAAAUUUAAUUUUUAAUAUAGAAU